CAGUCGCCACGGUAAUACGUAGGGUGCAAGCGUUAAUCGGAAUUACUGGGCGUAAAGCGUGCGCAGGCGGUUUUGUAAGACAGAGGUGAAAUCCCCGGGCUCAACCUGGGAACUGCAUUGGUGACUGCAACGCUGGAGUGCGGCAGAGGGGGAUGGAAUUCCGCGUGUAGCAGUGAAAUGCGUAGAUAUGCGGAGGAACACCGAUGGCGAAGGCAAUCCCCUGGGCCUGCACUGACGCUCAUGCACGAAAGCGUGGGGAGCAAACAGGAUUAGAUACCCCCGUAGUCCCUGUCUCUUAUAC
rnacentral:rRNA from 1 species